rnacentral:rRNA from 1 species
GAUGAACGCUGGCGGCGUGCCUAAUACAUGCAAGUCGAGCGAACGGACGAGAAGCUUGCGUGUCUGAGGUUAUCGGCGGACGGGUGAGUAACACGUGGAUAACAUACCUAUAAGACUGGGGUAACUUCGGGAAACCGGAUCUAAGACCGGAUAAUAUUUUGAACUUCAUGGUUCAAGAGUGGAAGACGGUCGUUCUUUCGCUUAUAGAUUGAUCCGCGCUGCAUUAGCUAGUUGGUAAGGUAACGGCUUAGCAAGGCAACGAUGCAUAGCCGACCUGAGAGGGUGAUCGGCCACACUGGAACUGAGACACGGUCCAGACUCCUACGGGAGGCAGCAGUAGGGAAUCCUCCGCGAUGGGCGAAAGCCUGACGGAGCAACGCCGCGUGAGUGAUGAAGGUCUUCGGAUCGUAAAACUAUGUUAUUAGGGAAGAACAUAUGCGUAAGUAACUGUGCACAUCUUGACGGUACCUAAUCAGAAAGCCACGGCUAACUACGUG